rnacentral:rRNA from 1 species
AUUACGUAAGAUCUCAACUUUGCCAGAAGCGACCAUAGCCCGAACGGCUUGAAUGGUAGUAGCCCGAUCCACCUUACACGAACUGGUAAAAAGACCGGGAACAUUGGCAGCAUUUGUUGCGAACAAAAACCAAGUAACGAAAGUAUCGAUACGGUC